ensembl:lncRNA
CUGGUCUGUGUGUGGUGAAGUUGAGACGUUUUUUAGAUUUAAAUUUAUUUAUUGUAGUUUUGUAUUUCACCCCGUUUAGGGUUACAAUAAACGUUUGUCCCUUAUAACAGCUUGUGGUAUUUCCUUCUGAAUCAUGAUAUGGACAUAAUUAUAGCUCAUAGCUGCAGCACAUACAUGAGUAGCCCAUCAGUUGUCAAACAAAAGUCAAACUGCACCAGGAAAAUAUCCCCGACGCCGUCACACCAGCAGCCUGAACAGAUGACACAAGGCCGGAUGGAUCCACGCUGUCAAAUUCUGACUCGACCAUCUGAAUGAACUCAAAACUCAUCAGACCAGGCAACGUGCUGGAGCUGCUACCGUCGGGUUCGAUGAAGGACGCACGGACACAGGGGUCUACUUUACAAUAUACUUUAUUUUGCAGUAAGCAGGUUUGUGGCUUCGUUGCUCCGCUCCUCGGCCUUCCUUGCCCCGGAGCGUCUGCUCCAGUCUCUCGCUCAAAGUCCUGCUCACUGUUUAUGUCACGGAGACAAUCAGUCAGGAUGACUUUUCAGUUGUGAUGAUUACUCACCCUUCCCUGAACCACUCCCCCGCUCUGCAUCCGAGCUCACCACACCAAUCUUAUGUCCAUUGUGGUGAUCCUGUGUGAAUAGUCUCCUGGUCUUAGCGGACAGGAGCUGUGGUCCCCCGGAGACCCCCGCUGUGGUCUCCUGCUGCUGUAGCCGCAGGUUGUGCACGUGUUGUGCGUUCAGAGAUGCAAUUCUGCACUCCUUGGGUGUAACGAGUGCUUAUUUGAGUUCCUGUUGCAGUCAUCGUGAACCAGUCUGGCCAUUCUCAUUUCGUCCACACAACACUCGCUGGGUAUUUCAUCUUUUUGGGACCGUUCGCUUUAAAACUGUCGUCACACUGAUAUCAUUUCAUUUAUGAUGACAUACACAAUGAGAAAACUGCUCCCAAAUGCCAGGUGGGCCACAUAAACAGGAUUAGUACAAACUUAUCGUUGUGUGACACCAAGUAGAGGGGGGGGCCUGUUUUACUUCCAACUAAACAGGUAGAGGGGGGGGGGGGUUCUCGUGCCGGACUGAACAAUACAGAGGUUCGGUUUACUCCAGGAACAGAGAUCAUAUUGUUGUACAAAACAAUAAUCAGGAAACAUUGAUUAGCCAAAAUAUGUCAAACAUACAAGGAAUUUGUCUUGGCGGUUAGUGCGCGACAGUAGACAGACAAGACAACAGUGCACAGGUAAUAAAAAUAAAGUGGAAUGAAAUGCUAAUGCAAUGGGUUAGUAAGAAUAAGGCUAAGGCUAUGGGUUAGUAUAAAACAGGGGAAUAAAGUUAAACAAAUUUUAAAUAUUAAGUUGAAAAAUAUUAAGCAUAAAGUGCACUAACAAACAAGUAACAAACAAGAGACAAAGUGACAAGUGACAAAGUGAUGAAUCGCAGUUAAAGUGGCAUGUGCAGUGUGAAGGGAAGUGACCGGUGGAGUGUUAUAGUCAGGCAGUGGGGGACCGGGCUCUGUUGAUGAGCCCGACUGCCGACGGGAAGAAACUGUAUAAUGUAUUCGUACAUCAGUAAAAAACAAACGCCGUAAAACAAUCUGUACUUGCCCGGGUCCCUAACCACGGUGAGGAUAGGGCGAGCGUCUGCGUGGAGGCAGCGAGUCUCCCAGUACAUCUAAUCACCCGUGCAACCUAUAAACAUGCAACACACACACACACACACACACGCACACGCGCACACGCGCGCACACACUGCAACUCACUCAACGGCAAAACAAAGUGCGUUAAAAACUGUUCAUGCAAUAUCACACCACAUGCUAAAAUCUAAAUCUAAGAAAAUACCCACGCUAUUCCUCCACACAACGGGCACCCCCCGCUCGAAAUAAAUGAAAAUAACAGUAGGCAAGUACACGAAAAAAAAACCGGAGCGCAGGACGCAUACAAUGUUAUGAUACCAGCUAGUUACAAUUGCUAAUCGCUACUCGCACCCGGAUACGGCAAAACAGCAGUUUGUGCGCCACCUGGAAAGGCUGAGGAGCUAAACCCUCCCCAACGACGUCCGAAGGGACUCCACUCGGCCGGCAAAACCUGCAAGGUUGAGAUCUGUAAGCUGACAAUUUCCCCCAUAACAAAUAACCCACCAGUUAGCGACCUACCUGCUACCUCUCCUUUCAGCGGACUGCUAGGAACGGGAGACGGCCCGUAAAAUAGGGGGCUCAUUGAUGACGUCAUCCCGACCCUUUGGUACUACCCGUCACAUCUGCAACUGGUUUACACCAUGAAACUGCAGUGGUGAUGGAAACACUUCAAUAAAUGUAUUUGCAUUUUUACUAUUGUCGCCAUGAAUCUAUGGAGUGCGAUCAGUCUCAUUAAUUACAAAUUCAAACAAAAGAAUUCACAUUUAAUUUACAAAUAAAUGUGACUCCCACAAUAUUGGUUAAAAGGUCGCCAAAAUUACCAACAAUGCUGUCAAUAUAUCCGGG